AUUGAACGCUGGCGGCAGGCCUAACACAUGCAAGUCGAACGGUAGCACAGAGAGCUUGCUCUUGGGUGACGAGUGGCGGACGGGUGAGUAAUGUCUGGGAAACUGCCCGAUGGAGGGGGAUAACUACUGGAAACGGUAGCUAAUACCGCAUAACGUCUUCGGACCAAAGUGGGGGACCUUCGGGCCUCACACCAUCGGAUGUGCCCAGAUGGGAUUAGCUAGUAGGUGGGGUAAUGGCUCACCUAGGCGACGAGCCCUAGCUGGUCUGAGAGGAUGACCAGCCACACUGGAACUGGGACACGGUCCAGACUCCUACGGGAGGCAGCAGUGGGGAAUAUUGCACAAUGGGCGCAAGCCUGAUGCAGCCAUGCCGCGUGUAUGAAGAAGGCCUUCGGGUUGUAAAGUACUUUCAGCGGGGAGGAAGGCGAUGAGGUUAAUAACCGCAUCGAUUGACGUUACCCGCAGAAGAAGCACCGGCUAACUCCGUGCCAGCCGCCGCGGUAA
rnacentral:rRNA from 1 species